rnacentral:rRNA from 1 species
GACAGAGGGUGCAAACGUUGUUCGGAAUUACUGGGCGUAAAGCGCGUGUAGGCGGCCAUCUAAGUCGGGCGUGAAAUCCCACGGCUCAACCGUGGAAGUGCACUCGAAACUGGAUGGCUAGAGUCCUGGAGAGGAAGGUGGGAUGCUUGGUGUAGAGGUGAAAUUCGUAGAUAUCAAGCGGAACACCGGUGGCGAAGGCGGCCUUCUGGACAGUGACUGACGCUGAGACGCGAAAGCGUGGGGAGCAAACAGG